rnacentral:tRNA from 1 species
GGUGGUAUGGUUCAAGUGAUAAGAGCUCCUGCCUAGUAAGCAAGAGACCCUAAGGUCAAAACUCACUACCACCA